rnacentral:lncRNA from 1 species
AGGGGGCUGCAAUGGGGGGGGGGCAUGCUCCUGCCCGCAAGUGUUAAGCCAGAGGUGAAUUCUGAGGACCGCCGGAGUUCCCGUUUGAGAUUUAGGCGGAUCACACAGUGCAACCGACUCCCCACCGCUCACCUCUCAGAGCCCAUCUCCGGAUGCCUGAUUUGUGUUUUAUUCCACUUUGAAAGCUCGAUGGGGUAGACGUGUUCUUACCCAUUAUGUGUAGAGAGAACAAGUACGGGACAGGUACCCAGCUCGUACAUUCAGGAGUCAGACCCUGGAAGAUUCUGGAAAACCUGUUCAGUGUAGCACCCUGGCCUGGGACCAGAAUCCCCACCCCUGGCUCAACAUCCCCCCAGGGCUGGUGGAGGCACUGAGGCCCCACAUGUCACCAGCCAGCCACUGGCCCGGGGGGGAGAGUUGCCGGGCGAGGCGGGGGUUGACUUGUGAGAGGAGUUGACCGAUGGGUGACAGGGACAGAAGAGCUGAGAGGUGUCAGCCUCGCGGGUGAGGGCAGAGGAUCCAGACUCCGGACACUUGGGAAGGGGGCCAGCCUGAGGGCUGCAGGAGGGCAGGCUGGUCUUGGAUGUGAGGAGGGUGGGCCCUCUGGGUUGGGGGGGCCGCUGUUGCCUGAGGGAGUUGACUUGUCCUGGGAGGCCCCGGGGGACAGGCCUGGGCCAGCAGCAAUGAGAGAGGAACCCUUCCCACAGCAAAACCAGGUCUCCGGCACCCAAGCCCGGCCUCCCAACCAGUUCCCCCCCCUCCCCCCGUCAGUGUUCCCUUUUCCAUUCCAUUCUGGCCACUAGCAUUUUCACCCAUUUUCUCGAGAACAGCGGUGAGGCCUGGAAGUCAGGACCACUGCCUGACCUCUUAGAAUUUCAAACUGUCUUGAAGAUCCUUUUGUCCGGCCCAUUGCGUCGCCGUAGAAAUGUUUAGUCAACGGGCUGCCGGCCCAGCUGGCCCAGCCCCGGUGACUGUGCCCCGGGCUCUUCCCUCCCAAGCGGCUGCUCCAGGCUAGGUGGGGGCUCCCCCCUCCGAAGUGGGGUCUGUUCCCCUCUUGUGCCCCCUUCUCCCCCCAGGUUCUGUCACCUGCCCCCUGCUGCCCUGUCGUUGGUCUUGCCGCUUACAGAACAGGCUUCCAGGCGACUCGCCUCAGCUGUGGUCUGUGAGUUUCUUCAAGGAUUUUAUUGAGAUGGGGGCCUAGAGACACUAAAUCUUUAUAACACAAGUGGACCUUUGGACUUGGGAACCCACCUCAUUUUAUAGACGAGGAAACUGAAAGGUUAGGUGGCUUUGCCUGAGGCCACCCAAGGGCCCAAGACGGGGCUGGGCCUCAAGCCUCAUCUCUGCUCUUUCCUGCUGCUCACUGACUGGUGACCAGCCCUGGGCAGGGGCGGUCUCAGCAGUUGGUGCCACGUUUCUGGCAUUGUCCAGGGUCAUCCCAGCACGACUUUGGGCAACCCCAUCCCCUGGUGACGUGUUCAACUUCAAGUUGACUAAAACCCCUGAAUUGUUUUAUAACUUAAUUUUCUUCUGAUUGUAAAAAUACUAGAAAAUACAUAGAAAUUCAAAGUAUAAACUUUCACAGCACUUCCUGUUGCUGUAAAAUUCCCCCCACCCUGCAUUCGGUUGCUCCGUUUUUAGCUAUAAAAGUAGGACUCUCCCAGGAGUUCCCGUUGCGGCUCAGCAGGUUAAGAACUUGACCUAGUCUCUAGGAGGAGGCAGGUCCCAUCCCUGGCCUCACUCAGGGUGCUAAGGAUCCGGCGUUGCCUCAAGCUGCAGUAUAUAUAGGUCACAGAUGCAGCCCGGAGCCAGUGUUGCCGUGGCAUAACCUGGCAGCUACCGCUCUGGUUCAACCCCUAGCCCAGAAACUUCCACAUGACACAGGUGCCACC